rnacentral:rRNA from 1 species
UGGGGAAAUAUUGCACAAUGGGCGAAAGCCUGAUGCAGCAACGCCGCGUGAGGGACGACGGCCUUCGGGUUGUAAACCUCUUUUAGCAAGGAAGAAGCGAAAGUGACGGUACUUGCAGAAAAAGCGCCGGCUAACUACGUGCCAGCAGCCGCGGUAAUACGUAGGGCGCAAGCGUUAUCCGGAAUUAUUGGGCGUAAAGAGCUCGUAGGCGGUUUGUCGCGUCUGCUGUGAAAACCCGAGGCUCAACCUCGGGCCUGCAGUGGGUACGGGCAGACUAGAGUGCGGUAGGGGAGAUUGGAACUCCUGGUGUAGCGGUGGAAUGCGCAGAUAUCAGGAAGAACACCGAUGGCGAAGGCAGAUCUCUGGGCCGUAACUGACGCUGAGGAGCGAAAGGGUGGGGAGCAAAACAGGCUUAGAAUACCCUGGUAGUCCACCCCGUAAACGUUGGGAACUAGUUGUGGGGUCCAUUCCACGGAUUCCGUGACGCAGCUAACGCAUUAAGUUCCCCGCCUGGGGAGUACGGCCGCAAGG